GUUUUAUAUGUGUUUGAUCAGCUUUUUAUUUUGAAAUCAUUUCAAAUGCACAAAAAGUUACAAACAUAGAAACAGUACAAAGAACAUAAAGAAACCUUUUAAACAGCUUCUCUGUUGCUAGCACUUCCACCAUUUUUUUUCUCUGAAUCAUUUAAAGGCGACUUACAUAUAUGCUGGCCCUUUACCCCCAGAAGACUUUUGUAUUUCCUAAGAAUAGGGAUCCUCUGUUACAUAACUGAUAAAGUCAUCAAGUUCCCUCUUUCAUGUUAACAUAGUGCUGUGUGUGCUCUUGCCUGCAGACACUGAGGUAAUGCCUUCCUGUACAGCAUCCCUUCCACAGCAUCCCUUCCUAUGGCUUUAACAUAGUACCCGGCUGUGCUUUAGUCAGACAUGUGUGUAGUCAGUUGUGUGUAGUUAGACAUGUGUAGUCAGAUGCCUGUAGUUCUCCUCAGGCCGAUCCCUGGUAUAGCUUUGUCUUUAUAAGUUAUACCUUGAUAUUCUUAGAGAGUGAACCCUCUCCCUCCCCAAGCCUGACCCUUCCUCUGCCCCACCCCCACAUCUUUUGCUUUGUUUUUUAAGGAAACAUUCUUCAUUUCCUGUUUGUCUGACAUUCCCUCGUGAUUAGAUUGAUGGUGGACAUUCUUUAUCAGAAUAGAUGAUAUAUACUACCCAGAGUAUCACAUAUGCAGGCAUACCAUGGCCUUUUAUUACUUAUUUGUAAUUUUAUUGACCUGAUAAAGUUUUCCUUAUAAUUCAUAAGCAGUCUAUGGAGAGAUAUUUUAAAGACAUGUGUAACUUAUUUUAUAUCAAAGAAAAAAAAAAAACAUUGUGUGAUCUCCCCACACUCAGGCAGUGGCUCUCUUACCAGGUUCAAGGCCAUCUACACAGUGAGUUCCAGGAUAGCAAAGGAUAUAUAGUGAGACCUUGUCUCGGGGGGAAAAAGGAGAGAUUUAUAUGAUCUAAAGAGAAACCAGAGCCAGGCAUGGUAGUACAUGCCUCUAAUUCUAGCUUUUGGGGGGAAAAAAGAAAAGAAAAAGAAGAAAAGAAAAAAAUUUCCUCAGGCUUAAUAUCCACAGAUAAGUUUCACCUUACCUAAUCUUUAUUAUUAUGUUUACACAGUGCUAAAUUUUUGAACUCUUAACACUCCCACACAGUUAGUUACCAGUUGACCCUCAGCCUUAUUUUCUGUUCUUUCUUUCUGUCUGUUUGUUGAGUUUGGGGGGUUUUUUUGGUUUGUUUUUGCUCUGUGUUACCCUCACUGUCCUGGAACUUGCUUUGCACGCCAGGCUGGCCUCCAAUCAGAUCUGCCUGCCUCUGCCUUCCGAGUGCUGGGCUUCAAGGCGGCCCUCAGCUUUCUAAUCGACGGGGGCUCUACUCCUCCUCCCCUUGAAUACUUGCUUGCAUUCUGUUUAUUUUUGGCAUGAUCAUAAAUAAUUCAUAUCAUAAAGUUUAUUUAUGGUAUAAAUUUCUUUUAUUCCAGUAGUUUCUAAAUUAAUACUAUAGUUAGUUAUUUGUUGCUCAAAUCAUCCCAGACUUGGGUAUCUCUUACAUCUGCUGGGUGGGGGACAAGAUUUCUAACAUAACCUGAAUCUGGUUUGCUCAUUUGCAGGCAGCACCUUUCAUACUUUCUUAUACCUAAUUUGAUGAAUGAAAUGGGCAAGGCAAAACAAUUCUGGGCCAUAGGAUGAGGUCACUCUUCAUGUUCUCCAGCUUUAGUGUUCCACUCGUCUGGCUUUUUAAAAGGCCAGAGGAUAUAUGAGAUCAUUCACUCAAAAUGAGUCGAAGGUAGAGAAACAAACUAAUACUCCUUACCUUCCCCUGGGAACGUGAGCCUCUGUGGGGUUCAGACCUCUAAAGAACUCUAGUGGCCGUGUGAAAUUCUAUCUGCAGGGCUCAGGAGAUGGCGGACUGUAAGCUUCAUGAAUGUUUUAUGGUGGUGCUCUCAGUAGAACUUACCUUCAUUAAACUGGGAAAGGCAACACACAGUUUAGUCAGUCAGUCAUUCGUUCAUUUAUUCUCUAAAGGAUGUGUUUUGUUUAUUUAUGUGUGUACGUAUGUGUGCAGAGGUCAGGACAGCUUUCAGCACCAAUAACUGACUUCAACCAUAUGGCUCCCAGGGAUCAACCUGAACUUGCCAUAAUUGGUAGCAAGCCCCUUACCUACUGAGCCACCCCACCA
rnacentral:lncRNA from 1 species